rnacentral:snRNA from 1 species
AGGUGUUACAGCUCUUUUAGAAUUUGUCUAGCAGGUUUUCCGGUCCUUAACAGAAGACCCCC